AUUGAACGCUGGCGGCAGGCCUAACACAUGCAAGUCGAGCGGACGAAGGGAGCUUGCUCCUGGAUUCAGCGGCGGACGGGUGAGUAAUGCCUAGGAAUCUGCCUGGUAGUGGGGGAUAACGUCCGGAAACGGGCGCUAAUACCGCAUACGUCCUGAGGGAGAAUGCGGGGGAUCUUCGGACCUCACGCUAUCAGAUGAGCCUAGGUCGGAUUACCUAGUUGGUGGGGUAAAGGCCUACCAAGGCGACGAUCCGUAACUCGGCUGAGGGGAUGAUCAGUCAGACGGGCAGUGAGACAGGGCACAGACUCUGAGGGUGAGCAACGGUGGGGAAUAUUGCAGGAGGGGGGAGAGCCGGAUCCAGCCAUGCCGCGUGUGUGAAGAAGGUCUUCGGAUUGUAAAGCGCUGUAAGUUGGGAGGAAGGGCAGUAAGUUUAUACCUUGCGGUUUUGACGUUACCGACAGAAUAAGCACCGGCUAACUUCGUG
rnacentral:rRNA from 1 species